CAUCAGCAGCUACAUCUGGCUACUGGGUCUCUGA
rnacentral:miRNA from 1 species